ensembl:lncRNA
GAGAGAGUGAGUGUGUGGAUAGGCAGAGAGAGUGCGUGUGGAUAUGCAGAGAGAGAGAGUGUGGAGAGGCAGAGAGAGAGCGUGUGGAUAGGCAGAGAGAGAGAGCGUGUGGAUAGGCAGAGAGAGAGCUUGUGGAUAGGCAGAGAGAGAGAGUGUGGAUAGGCAGAGAGAGAGAGUGUGGAUAGGCAGAGAGAGAGAGUGUGUGGAUAGGCAGAGAGAGCAUGUGGAUAGGCAGAGAGAGAGAGUGUGUGGAUAGGCAGAGAGAGAGCUUGUGGAUAGGCAGAGAGAGAGAAUGUGGAGAGGCAGAGAGAGAGUGUGGAUAGGCAGAGAGAGAGAGAGAGAGAGAGUGUGGAUAGGCAGAGAGAGAGAAAGUGUGGAUAGGCAGAGAGCGAGAGUGUGUGGAUAGGCAGAGAGAGAGUGUGUGGAGAGGCAGAGAGAGCGAGCGUGUGGAGAGGCAGAGAGAGCGAGUGUGCGGAUAGGCAGAGAGAGUGCGUGUGGAUAGGCAGAGAGAGAGAGAGUGUGGAGAGGCAGAGAGAGGUGUGAAGAGGCAGAGAAAGAGUGCGGAGAGACAGAGAGAGAUAGUGUGUAGAGGCAGAGAAAGAGUGUGUGGAGAGGCAGAUAAUGAGUGUGGAGAGGCAGAGAAAGAAGAAAGAUUGUGGAGAGGCAGAGAAAGAGUGUGGAGAGGCAGAUAAAGAGUGUGGAGAGGCAGAGAGGGAGUGUGUGGAGAGGCAGAGAAAGAGUGUGGAGAGGCAGAGAGAGAGCGUGUGGAGAGGCAGAGAGAGAGCAUAUGGAGAGGCAGAGAGAGAGCGUGUGGAGAGGCAGAGAGAGAGCGUGUGGAGAGGCAGAGAGAGAGCGUUUGGAGAGGCAGAGAGAAAGCGUGUGGAGAGGCAGAGAGAGCGUGUGGAGAGGCAGAGAGAGCGUGUGGAGAGGCAGAGAGAGAGCAUGUGGAGAGGCAGAGAGAGAGCAUGUGGAGAGGCAGAGAGAGAGCAUGUGGAGAGGCAGAGAGAGAGCAUGUGGAGAGUCAGAGAGAGAGUGUGGAGAGGCAGAGAGAGAGUGUGGAGAGGCAGAGAGAGCAUGCGGAGAGGCAGAGAGAGAGCAUGCGGAGAGGCAGAGAGAGAGCAUGUGGAGAGGCAGAGAGAGAGAGUGUGGAGAGGCAGAGAGAGAGCAUGUGGAGAGGCAGAGAGAGAGUGUGGAGAGGCAGAGAAAGAGUGUGGAGAGGCAAAGAGAGAGAUUAUGUGGAGAGGCAAAGAGAGAUAUUAUGUGGAGAGGCAGAGAGAGAGCAUGCGGAGAGGCAGAGAGAGAGCAUGUGGAGAGGCAGAGAGAGAGCAUGCGGAGAGGCAGAGAGAGAGCGUGUGGAGAGGCAGAGAGAGAGCAUGUGGAGAGGCAGAGAGAGAGCAUGCGGAGAGGCAGAGAGAGAGCAUGUGGAGAGGCAGCGAGAGAUCGUGUGGAGAGGCAGAGAGAGAGUGUGUGGAUAGG